UACGAGGGGUGCGAGCGUUAUUCGGAUUUAUUGGGCGUAAAGGGCGCGUAGGCGGCCAGCGCAAGUCAGUUGUGAAAUCUCCGGGCUUAACUCGGAAAGGUCAACUGAUACUGCGCGGCUAGAGUGCGGAAGGGGCAACUGGAAUUCUCGGUGUAGCGGUGAAAUGCGUAGAUAUCGAGAGGAACACCUGCGGCGAAGGCGGGUUGCUGGGCCGACACUGACGCUGAGGCGCGAAAGCGUGGGGAGCGAACAGG
rnacentral:rRNA from 1 species